CGGGAUAACAACCUGGAAACAGAUGCUAAUACCGGAUAACAACAGAUGAUGCCUAUCAACUGUUUAAAAGAUGGUUCUGCUAUCACUCUUGGAUGGACCUGCGGUGCAUUAGCUAGUUGGUAGGGUAACGGCCUACCAAGGCGAUGAUGCAUAGCCGAGUUGAGAGACUGAUCGGCCACAUUGGGACUGAGACACGGCCCAAACUCCUACGGGAGGCAGCAGUC
rnacentral:rRNA from 1 species